rnacentral:rRNA from 1 species
AUGAGUUCUUAUCUCGUCUCCGCUCUGAGUUUGAGCCCCGCCGGGCUCACUUGCUUGCUCGUGGUCGUGUUCCUAUCUCGGAGGUGCUUGCUGAGCUUCGUGCUGAGGAGACCCGUCUUUGCUCUGCUGGGUUACUUGUGGGUCCUUCAGUGUUGGCCACCCGGGCUCCUGUGUCAUCUGCUCGCCUCACUGCUCCACCACUCCUGCCCACUCCUUCAGGGAGUGAGCCGUCCUCUUUAUGCUGAGAAGAGUACGUCGCGCCGUGACACUUUCUGUGGUUACUGCUCCCGGUCAGGUCACUCAGAGUCUGAUUGUCGCCAGAAGAAGCGAGACCAGAGACGCUCCUCUUCUAGUGGCCCUCCUGCAUCUUCCUCGACUCAGUCACUCAUUGACCAGGACAUUGUACGCCUCAAGCGUCUACUUGCCUCCACUGGCUCCUCGUCGACUGGUUCAGCUGCUGCUAUGACUGCACCCCCUUCUACACCACCACAGGCCUCUACUCAGUCAGGUACAUCCUCGUGGGUUCUGGAUUCUGGAGCUUCCUUUCAUAUGUCUUCUCUCCGACCUCUUGAUUCACCUGUUAAUGUUCUUACCGCUGAUGGCACACCUCUUCCUGUUGCUAGUCGUGGUCUUCUUUCCACUCCAUCCUUUUAUGUCCCUAGUGUUUCCCAUGUUCCUCGCCUUACCAUGAAUCUUUUUUCCGCUGCCCAACUCACUGAUUCUGGUUGUCGUGUCAUUCUUGAUACCGACUCUUGCUCCAUUUAG